rnacentral:rRNA from 1 species
GCCUUCGGGUUGUAAAGCACUUUAACAGGAACGAAAAGCGAUGGGUUAAUACCCUGUCGUGCUGACGGUACCUGAGGAAUAAGCACCGGCUAACUUCGUGCCAGCAGCCGCGGUAAUACGAAGGGUGCAAGCGUUAAUCGGAAUUACUGGGCGUAAAGCGUAUGUAGGUGGUUAUUUAAGUCUGUUGUGAAAGCCCUGGGCUCAACCUGGGAACUGCAAUGGAUACUGGAUAGCUAGAGUGCGGUAGAGGAUGGUGGAAUUCCCGGUGUAGCGGUGAAAUGCGCAGAGAUCGGGAGGAACAUCAGUGGCGAAGGCGGCCAUCUGGACCAGCACUGACACUAAAGUACGAAAGCGUGGGGAGCAAACAGGAUUAGA